rnacentral:lncRNA from 1 species
AACUCUUCAUCAACAAUCAACAUGUUUUUAGUUGUUCCUCUCUCUGUCUACUUAUUGAUAAUUCUUCUCUAGUGACCAUUUUCUUAUUUGAGAACCACAAAAUUAUGGUGAGAGUGAAUCUUUGGGAUGCUAGAAGGUGGCAGCGAAAGUUUGAGUCUAAGCAGGUUUGCUUCUGAUCUUUCUUUAGUUACAUGUUUGCUUCUGAUCCUUCCGUGUUCUUUCAGAUGGUGAGAGUGAAUCUUGAGAUUCAAAAGAAGAGGAACACAUAAGUAAAGACAAUCGUGAAGGUUGCAUAGUAUAUAUUCUAAUAUAUUUUAGAAGAUACAUGUAAUGUUAGCAGAUAACAAUAUUCUUAUAAUGUAUAUGUCAACAAAGUAAACUUCAAGAUAAAUUAAUUUCAAUGGUGUAAUGGUAUUUAAAAGGGUUAUUAACGAAUAAUAAAUAUCUUAG